GUACUUUCCUGCUUGAACCAGACAGUGCCAGGGUCAGAUGCUGAACAUCGGGCCCAGAAACUCCUGAGUCGGUUUUUGGCGGAGGAAACAGCGGAGAAAGAGAUGUUCAAAGGCUACCGUAGAAGAGUUAGAUUCUAUAUUGGAGAAGAACACGACCAAACCAUUGAACAAGUUGACGAAAAGCUCCUGUCCUACCCAUCACGCUUCAUUGCAGAGCAGCUAACUUUUAUGGAUGCUGAUCUUUUUCAGAAACUUGUGCCCAGCCAAUGUUUAGGGUCCAUCUGGUCUCAACGAGGGAAG